GAGGAACUGCACCCUCGGUUGGAGCUAAAAACAUCACCUUGGUUCAUGUGUUCAACACAUACUUACUCAGCCCCUGGAGAGGGCUGAGCACUGUGUGGCUGGGACCCUGCUUGGUGCUCUCCAGAAUGCCCAGCAGGCACCAGCACGUCAGGAUGGACGAGUGGUAGUGCUGGCAGGGCCCGGGGCUCAGCUGUGCCAGGCUGGAGUAGGGGGACAGGGCGUCCUGGGUGGCUGGGGCUGUGGAGAGGAAGAGAGGGUGACACACAGACAGUCCCAAGUUGCAUGAGCGCCGUCCCUCGUGGGGGUCUGCGUCCCUGUGCUGGGGUCUCUCGUGGUUGCUCAGGGUUUGCGAUGCGUGUCCCUCGUGUGUCAGCAUCUGCUGUGGAUCAGUGUUAAGACGACUUCACGGAGAACGCAAAAGCAACCUAAGAGCACGCUGCUGUUGCUGUUGCUUGAAACAGCCUGUUGACUUCUAAAUGUGCAAAGGAAAACAUUUCGUGUUUACCCACGUAUUUACUGUUUCCUGUACACUCUGCUGCUUCCUGCGCAUACGAAUUUCCACCUGGCCUCAUUUCCUUUCAGCCUGAGCUCUCCUUUAGCAUGUCUUAUAGUAUGCUGUCCCUCUGGAAAAUGUCUUUAUUUUGUCUUCAUUCUUCGAAGAUGUUUUAGUUGUGUAUAACAUUCUGGCCUGGCAGUAUUUUUCUUUUAGCUCUUUAAAGUUGUCAUUCCAUUGUCUUCUGGACUCCAUGGUUUCUGAUAAGUGAAUCAUGGGUUUAUUGCUGCAUCCUCUGUGGAGUGGAUGGAUGCUUGUUCUCUGGCUGAUUUUAAGAAUUGUUUUUAUCUUUAGUUUUCAGCAGUUUUAUAUAACGUUCUUCAUAAGAUGUAAUUUCCUUUUUAUUUAUCCCAAAGUUUGGUGAACUUUGUAAAUCCCUGGGUUACUGUUUUUGAUCAAAUUUGGAAAAAAAUCAGCCAAUAUUCUAUAAAUAUCUUUUUCUGCUCCAUUCUCCCCUCUCCUCAUAGGACUCCACUCAUCCCUGUGCUAGGGCGCUUGGCUCCGUUUAUUUUAAUCUCUUAGCCUGUGGGCCUCACUUUGGAUGACUUCAGUUUUGACUUGUCUCUGAGUUCAUUGGUCCUUUCUUAUGUUUCAUUCAACGUACUGUUAACCCUACUCAGUGAUAGAUUUUGUAAUAAUUUCAGAUAUUGUAGUUUUCCUUUCUAGGAUUUUCAUUUGGUUAUCUUUUUGCAGGUAAUUUCUCCUGAAAUUUUCCAUCUCUUCAGUCAUUAUCCAUCAAGUUUAAAGUCCUUUUCUGCCAGUUCCAGCAUUUGGGUCAUCUAUGGGUCUGUUCCUUUGGGCUGGUUUUUCUCUUGAUUAUGAGUCACAUUUUCCUGUUCCUUCCUAUUAUUAGAUUUUGUUGUUGUAUACUGGAUGUUGUGGAUGCUUUCCAGAUGUUGUAGAGAUUCUAAAUUCAGUUGUCUUCCUAGAAGAUGGCUGAGUUCUGUUUUAUUGCUCGUUUAAUUAUCAGGGAAUCACUUUGGGUUGGCAGAGGCUUGGCAUUAGGCUUUGUUAAGGCAGAUGUAUCUCUGUUUUGCCUUUAUUCUGAUUUCUUUUUCUUUUUUUUGAGGAAGAUUAGCCCUGAGCUAACAUCUGCCACCAGUCCUCCUCUUUUUGCUGAAGAAGACUGGCCCUGAGCUAACAUCCAUGCCCAUCUUUCUCUAUUUUAUAUGUGGGAUGCCUACCACAGCAUGGCUUGACAAGCAGUGCAUGGGUCCACACCUGGGAUCUGAAACAGCAAACCUCGGGCUGCCGAAGCGGAACAUACGAACUUAACCACUGCACCACCAGGCCGGGCCCUAUUCUGAUUUCUUAUUCCAUGUCCCUGUAGUCCUGGACAGGUCCGUCCUUCUACAGUGGGUCUUUCUGGGGUUUCAUGGAAAGCCAAGGUUUUUCCCGGUGCCUCUAACUUGGCAGAACUUGAGUUCCAAAUUCUCUCUUCCCUGUGGCAUGCAGCACUGCACGCUCUGCUCAGCUGUACUUCUGGCUCUUGUCCUUGGCCCUUUGGACUGUCAGCCACUCCUGUGCGAUUUAGGAGUCAGCCAAGGAUUUCAGAGGAGUUUAUAUGCAGAUUUUGGAGUGCCCCCUCUGUGUGUCCCUCCUCUCCAGGAUUUUCCCUUCAAUUUCCGGUUGUUUUGGCAGCACUGAGCUCUGUCCACCACUCCUCAGGUGAUGAGCCAGCAGCUUUCUGGUUGACCUCCGUCCUCCGUGCCCUGUGCAGUCAGCAGUAUCCUCUAGGGAGAGCCGUACCAAUACAGAUCGUACCUGUGUGCCCGCUUCUCUCAGGGCCACACUCCCCUCCGGGUCGUACCUGUGUUUGAUCACUCUCCAGUGCCUUCAGCCUUUCUUCUUUUCAUCCAGGGUUACAGUUGUUACUAACAGAAGAGCUUGUCCUAGACGAGCCGCUCCGUGAGCACUGGGAGCCAGAACCCUGUGCUGUGAGAUUCGAAGGAGACGACCACCACAUCUGUUCUCCCAGCCUGAUGGCCAGCCUCCACUUCUCAAAACCUGAAAAUCAUCCUCAGCUCCGUGGACGAAUCCCAGCUGCUUCCCCUGGCGGCCGGCUAGCUCAAGCUCAUCUCCCCGCACUUGCUCUGACCCCUCAAGACUUCAGCUUGGACCACUGCUUGUUCCUGAACCCUCCAGACCUGCGCAGCCCAGUGGAACCUUCUGCAACGGUGGGAGUGUUCCAGAUCUGCACUGUCCAAUGUGAUAGCCACUGCACUGGCCACUUGAGAUGUGGCUGCUGAGACUGAGGAACUGAGUGUGUAAUUUUAUGUAAUUAUGAUUGAAAUUCAAAUAGCCACAUGUGGCUGGUGGCUAACACAUUGGACAGAGAGAGCUCUAGACCGCCGCUGCUCAGAGUAUCGUCUGACAAUCAGGGUUAGCCUCGCCUGGGCAUUUGUUAGAAAUGCAGAAUCGUGGGCCCCCCGCCCCAGCCUGCUGAUCCGAAUCUCUGAGCUGGGCCCCAGCCCGCUGCAGCCCCCUGUGUUUACCGCUCUCUGGGUGGGGUCUGGUGCUGGGGCUGGGGAGGUGCUGCUGCAGUGCGCUGCACACCUCAGCCUUUUCACAAGCUGUUUCCUCGGCCUGGAAGUGCUUCUCUCUCUCCUCUGCUUAGCACAGUCCUGUUGUUCAGAAUCCAGGUAAAGCCAGCUCUUGGGGAGGCCCUCUCUGUUGGCCCCUCUGCUGCACCGGUAGGAUGGCGCCGUCACGCUGCGUCACCAUCUUUCGUUGAACGGUCUGUCCCCGGGAGCUCCUUGGGUGGGAGUGACCCUGGUCCUCCCUGUGUCCAGCCAGGCGCAGGCUAUUUCGGAUGCUCAGAACUGCCUGCUGAGUAACCCCCGGCCUGGCGAGGUCUGCGCUGCUGCCGGUGGCCUCUUUUCUGCCCUGGCACUUUGCUUUGGAAUCAGGGUUUUGGUCUUUGGAAAUCCUUAUGGCCAUUGGGAGGGUUCAAGUCUUAAAUUUCCUUUCAAGGGCUAAUUUUUUUUUUUUGCUCCUUUUUUAAGAGUAUAGAUUUUUCGUUUAGUUGGAAGAGUCAGGAAAUGCAGAUGUUGCUGUGGAUGGUUCAGAAUUCCCCGAGGGGUGAACUUGUUGAAUCCAUCUUGAAAGUGGGGGCCCUCAGCCAGGACCACGGCUGCUGACACAGGCGGAGGCGGGGCGCGGGCUUCUGUGUCAGAGCGGUCCCCGCAGGUCCUGACGCCUGGACUCAGCAUUCUCCCUGCCUGUGCGAACGCCCUCCCUGGGAGCUGCUGGGCCUGGGGCAGGCCCUGAGGGAGGGGUCAGGGCUGGGAUCCUGGCCGCUGGGCAAGAGGGGCUGCCUCCGAUCCCACCUUGGGUGGGUGCUUCCAGCCCACACGGCUGCCCCGGGCCCUGGCUCCGUGAGUUCAGUGGGGGCUCGGUUCUCCGUCCUCAGGGCCCAGGGCCCCAGCUCCCGCUGCAGGCCCUCCCUCAGUCCCGGAACCCAGCCUCUGAGACUCACCCCAUAGGCCACACUGGGCAUUAGCAGCCUGCUGCACCAAGCCGGCUACCAGGCAGCGGGGCAGAAGCAGGGUGCCAGGAGAACCAAUUCAGGGUUGGGAGAACAACAAAACCAGCCCAAAAGAUGUGGGUGUGAAUGUGGCCUCAGCCUCUUUGAGCUGCAUGGCCUUGAGCAAGUUACGGGAGCCUCAGUUUCCCCUCUGUAAAAUGGGAAUGGUGACGUCUGCCACAUGGGGCGAGAGACUCGCAUGUCCACCCAGUGCAGACCCUGGUGUGUGGGAGGGCAGGCCCAGUCUCCCUCCACCUGAGACGCUUGAGCCCUUCAGCCGGUAGAUGGCAGCUGACCUCAGUCCCACUCGCUGCUGCCCCUCUGGGCCAGGCUCCUGCUGGGGACACGGAGGAGCCUCACGCCUGGCCUGGAUCUUGAGGACCCCGAGCCCAGCAGGGACCUCAGCCGUGCCUAAGCACUGUGCCGGGAGAGAGGAAGGCAGAUUCCGGGGGCCCGGGGGACGCUGGGCCUUGCUGAGGAGGCAGGGAGAUGGGAGGAGGAGACGCACAAGGGUGUUUCAAAUGAUGAUCCAUGGUUGGGGGGGGCGGGGUGUGUUCCAGGCAGGGAACAGCACUGGCCAAGGCACAGAGACAGGCAGGAAACGGCUGGGUGCAGGCGGUGGGUGAGGUGGGCACGGGGUCAGGCCGCAGGACCCACAGGUGCUCACACCUGCCACCUGCUGCUGCUUCCUUCCGGGACUCCCUGCCCUCCUGCCCCAGCUUGCCGACGCCCUAGACAGGCUGAGUCCCCACUUCUGGGGCCCAUGGUAGCAUCUCACAGGCCUGGCGAUGAGGUCAGGGCCUUACCUGCUCAGCCACUGGGGCCACGGCCCCGUGCUGUGGUCACUCAGUGAGGGUGCACCUCACAGAACCCUUGGAGAGAGGCAUCUUCCAAAGGCAGGCUUGCUCUCCUGAUGCUGCAGAGUGGUGCUGGCACCUUCUGAAGGCACCAGACUGUCUGCUGGGCCACAGAACUCCGUCCCGAGGACAAGGUUCCCCCACUGCCUCUCUCCCACACCCUUGGCUGCACCAGGAGACGUGGCCGCGAGGAGGGGUCUGGGGGACAGGCAAAGGGAGGGGGGCUCAGAAGGCGCCCUCAUGCACACACCCACCCCAGAGAUGUCCAGGGUCCUUGCCCUCCGUGAAGCCACCUCCCGGGUCUGCUCCACCCCCAGCCUACGCCAGGCCAAGGAGUCCACGGGGCUCUGUGCUGGAAGCUUCUUCCUACAGAGGAGACACUGGCCAUUCUGUCCCUCUGUGACCCAUAAGCAAGGAUGCAGGUGACAGACGGCUCUCUGUGGGGCGCUUGGAGAACUGGCACUGCCUGUCAGGUCCUCAGACGGUGAGAAGCAGGUGACUUUUCUCAUCACCCUUUUUGCGAGGGCUGCUAGGAAGCUCAGAAGCAAGUUGUUCUUUAUGGAAACAUCAGUGGUAUAAAGUGUUAACAGCAGCCCCACAGCUGCUCACUGCAGCCAGCUCUGCCCCGCAGCAGGUGCGCUCAGGCCAGUCUCAGGGUUCCCAAGCCUCGGUCGCGUCGUCUGCAGAAUGGGCUCAAGAGAAACAAGCUCACAGGGCUGUUUGGGGAAUUAAAUGAGAUAUUUUGUGAGAAACACUCUUAACAAUGCGGUUGUCAUGUGAGGCAGGAAGUGUUGAUGUUUUUCUGCUUCUCAGCGGGAGGUGGAAUGAGCGUGAAGGACCAGUGGGUGGCACUAGGUAAGGAAUAGAUUUUUCCUGGUGGAUGGAUAAAAAGUUUCGGCAGCCCUAGCAGGUAGUAACUGACUGUUGAGAGGUCUCGGAUUUGGGUCUGCUGUGGGCGUGGUUCAGCUCCCAAAAAAAAGGGCAGCAAAAUGCAUUUGGGAUGUUUUGAAAGUGGAGCUGGGCAGCAGACACCCCAGGAAGGUGCAAGAACUCCAGGUCUAGGUCUGAGAUGCCGGCAGAAGGCGAGGGGUGUAGGUCCCGAAGGGCAGGAGGUCUGUCUCACCCAGCCCACGCUUACUGCGCACCCACAGUUUCUGAGCCCCUCCCUCUCCCUAGGCCCCCCUUGGUCAUGGGGUGCAGAGAGCAGUGACCAUGGUUCCCACCAGGCUCGGGGAUGGGUGCCUGAGGGAGGGUGCUGGGGGCACACGGUUCACGGCAGCUCUGCAUGUCUGGGGCAUCCUCCAUGGGCCCGGAGGGGGCUGGAGGUGGCACUGUGCCCAGGAGGAGUGGCUGGGGCUGGGCGUAGGGCUUCAGCCAGGGGAGAGAAGAGACAGUCCCAGGGGUCUUGGGUGGAGAACAGAACAGCUUGUUCUAUGCCACCCUCCAUACGGAACACGGAACAUCCAACACGGAAGCCAGACCGAGGGCAGAUUUCUGCUCAGCCCACGAAAGAAAAAAUGUUUGGAUCAGCAGAGCUGACAAGAGGUGGGACACACUGCCUCCGGGGAGUGAGCACCCUGUCAUCAAGGGUGUGCAAGUGGAGGCUGCACGACUAUCUGGCAGGAAUUCUGGGGGAUAUCUUCCCUGUUGAUAUUUGGGGGUGGGGGCGUGAACUUGAUCAUUUGCAGAUCCCUGUUAAUUUAGACAGUUUGUUUCUGGGAGUGGACAUCAUGGUGGAACUGUGGGCGCUGUGGAGCCUGGCUGUUGGGACCCAGAAUCUCCUCGUCAUGCUUCCAGUCUGCUGUGUGAUCUCAGGCAAGCCCCUCACCCUUCCUGGGCUCCAGUCCCUCCAUCAGUAAAACCAGAGGGCUGCUCGAGUGGCUCCUGAGGCUGCUCUCGGUGCUGACACCUGCUUGGGUUUGUGCACCGAUGGGGUUGAUGCCACCGCGGGACAGCGGGGGUCCUGCCUCUUCCUGGAUCCUUGGGGAGGGAACUCCCUACUUCCGGGAGGAAACACAUCACUGGUCCUUUAAGCAGCAGCUGCAUUUGCCAACAGAAGGGCUGUGAUUGUCUUUUUCAAGGAGAGAAGAUAAGUUGAUUUUGAUGACUCAUCACGGGGCAUUCUCCAAAACGGGUCUGCGAACUCCUGUUAAUCGGCGACGGUGGCUAAUGGUGUGUUUCUAGAGCACUCCCCUGGUCAUGACUUCAGAAAUCCUCCUCCGUAGUCCAUGGAGUCAUUUUCAUAGUGGGCAGGCGCCCUGAAGUGGAAACGCUGUCCUGCCUUCUCCCUGUUGGCCUUGGUUGGCGCAUCUGGAUGCUUCCGGCAGAGUGGUCGUCAGGGCCGUGGCGAGGGACCCUCUGUGUAUUUGUUGUCUGCUGCUGUGUAAUGAAUUGCAACGAACUUCACGGCCAAAGGAACACUGUCCUCUCACAGUUGCUGUGGGCCUGGGCUCUGAGCGCGGCUUAGCCGGGUCCUCUGCUUAGGGCCUCAUCAGGCUGCUGCUGUCCUCUUGGCUGGGGAUGUGCUCUCAGCUCAAGCCUCACUGGUGAAGGGCCUGCUGCUGAGCUCACGUGGUUGUUGGCAGCAUUCGGUGCCUUGCUGGCUGUCGGCCAGAGGCUGGCCUCGGCUCGCUGCCACGUGGCCCUGUCCUGAGGCCCGUUCACCGUGUGGCAGCUUCUUCAGAGCUGGCAAGGGAGAGCGCCCCCUGGCAAGACUGCUGACACCCUCUCGUUUGGUUACUGCUGAAGUGACGGCCCAUCACCCUUGCAGGGUCCUGUUGGUUAGAAGCCAGUUGCAGGCCCUGCCCACACUCUGGAGGUUACUCGCGAACACAGGAGGUGGGCCAUGGGGCCACUCAGAGUUGGUGCUGUUGUCUGGGCCAGCCCACACCAUUUUAUCCACCCUUCAGACGAGCACACCCUGCAGCAUGGGCAGGGGCUGGAAUCCCAUCAGAGUGAGACGGGGGCAUGCCCUGUGCGCCUCACACUGGCACAUGGAAGGUGGAAGAGCUGGGUUGGCAUCACGGGCUGUGUGACCAUGGGUGGGCCACCUCCCGUGGGGGCUGCUCCCUCAUCCGUAAAGUGAGGAGGGGGUGACCUUGAGGGGUCCCAGCCCAUUCUCUGCUGAGGAUAUCUGCCCCCUGCCCCCGGCUGCAGGUGCCACAUUUGGGGGGCUGCUCUCCCUCACAAACCCUCCUGUUCUCCAAGGACACUGACUGGGCCCUCCACAAAGUUAACCCAGGUCUGACACUGUCUGCCUGGCAUAGCGUCAGACCCCACAGGUUAAGGGCUCUAUCCCACAAGACUCCCUCCCCUCCCCCGCUUCAGAUGCCGGUCACAAGUCCAGGUUGUCACUUGUGCUUUGGACCUCCUGGCUGAACAUCAGAGGUUCCCAUGACCCCCUCCUCGGGUUCCAUCAUUUGCUAGAGUGGCUCACAAACUCACAAAAAUGGUUUACUUACCUUAUCACACCUGCCACCUCCCCACGGCCCCUGGCAGGGGGCCUUCCAUUCCGCCAGCCCCCAGCCCCAGCUGAUGGAUCCAAGCCUGAGGAGCUGGCCCAAAGGAACUGCCCAGAGCGACAGGUGCUUGCUCAGUGGAACCUGAACCAAGGGGUGUGGAGUCUGGUCAGACAGAGGGUCCUAGCAGCAAGGCCAUAUGGGGCUGUGUGCCCAGUGGCGAGGGGCAGAGCAUGCUGGCCCAGAAGUGACCUCUGGGGCAGUCUCCUGACCUUAAACUGUAGGUGAUGGGUGGCCCUGCCAGGUAGAGGACUGAGUGGGGUGACCAGGCCGCACACCUCGGAGGGCGUGGCGCCGAGUCGGUGCCCAGUGAGAUGUGGAAGUCAGCUGCUGUGUACGGAAGCUGGCGAGCAGUGGUCAUGCUGGGGCUGCUGUGACUGUGCGGGGGGAGCCUCACCCCGGGGGAGGCCGGGCGAGUUCCGUUGUAGCUCUGCUGACCGAGCCUGAGAUGGGUUUCUUUUUAUUUAUUUAUUUUUGUUCUUUUUUUUCCUUUAUUUUAAAGUAUGGAAGCUCAAGUAUAAGAUGUAGAUGUGUUUUUAAGCUUUACAAAAAAAACAGAAUAAAACAAAAAACUCC
rnacentral:lncRNA from 1 species